rnacentral:rRNA from 1 species
CAGCAGCCGCGGGAAUACGAAGGGGGCUAGCGUUGUUCGGAAUUACUGGGCGUAAAGCGCACGUAGGCGGACAUUUAAGUCAGGGGUGAAAUCCCGGGGCUCAACCCCGGAACUGCCUUUGAUACUGGGUGUCUAGAGUAUGGAAGAGGUGAGUGGAAUUCCGAGUGUAGAGGUGAAAUUCGUAGAUAUUCGGAGGAACACCAGUGGCGAAGGCGGCUAACUGGUCCAUUACUGACGCUGAGGUGCGAAAGCGUGGGGAGCAAACAGGAUUAGAUACCCGUGUAGUCCCUGUCUCUUAUAC